GACGAACGCUGGCGGCGUGCUUAACACAUGCAAGUCGAACGGAAAGGCCCUUCGGGGUACUCGAGUGGCGAACGGGUGAGUAACACGUGGGUGAUCUGCCCUGCACUUUGGGAUAAGCCUGGGAAACUGGGUCUAAUACCGAAUAGGACCACGCGCUUCAUGGUGUGUGGUGGAAAGCUUUUGCGGUGUGGGAUGGGCCCGCGGCCUAUCAGCUUGUUGGUGGGGUAAUGGCCUACCAAGGCGACGACGGGUAGCCGGCCUGAGAGGGUGACCGGCCACACUGGGACUGAGAUACGGCCCAGACUCCUACGGGAGGCAGCAGUGGGGAAUAUUGCACAAUGGGCGCAAGCCUGAUGCAGCGACGCCGCGUGAGGGAUGACGGCCUUCGGGUUGUAAACCUCUUUCAAUAGGGACGAAGCGCAAGUGACGGUACCUAUAGAAGAAGCACCGGCCAACUACGUGCCAGCAGCCGCGGUAAUACGUAGGGUGCGAGCGUUGUCCGGAAUUACUGGGCGUAAAGAGCUCGUAGGUGGUUUGUCGCGUUGUUCGUGAAAACUCACAGCUUAACUGUGGGCGUGCGGGCGAUACGGGCAGACUAGAGUACUGCAGGGGAGACUGGAAUUCCUGGUGUAGCGGUGGAAUGCGCAGAUAUCAGGAGGAACACCGGUGGCGAAGGCGGGUCUCUGGGCAGUAACUGACGCUGAGGAGCGAAAGCGUGGGGAGCGAACAGGAUUAGAUACCCUGGUAGUCCACGCCGUAAACGGUGGGUACUAGGUGUGGGUUCCUCCUUGGGAUCCGUGCCGUAGCUAACGCAUUAAGUACCCCGCCUGGGGAGUACGGCCGCAAGGCUAAAACUCAAAGGAAUUGACGGGGGCCCGCACAAGCGGCGGAGCAUGUGGAUUAAUUCGAUGCAACGCGAAGAACCUUACCUGGGUUUGACAUGCACAGGACGCCGGCAGGGAUGUCGGUUCCCUUGUGGCCUGUGUGCAGGUGGUGCAUGGCUGUCGUCAGCUCGUGUCGUGAGAUGUUGGGUUAAGUCCCGCAACGAGCGCAACCCUUGUCCUAUGUUGCCAGCGGGUUAUGCCGGGGACUCGUAGGAGACUGCCGGGGUCAACUCGGAGGAAGGUGGGGAUGACGUCAAGUCAUCAUGCCCCUUAUGUCCAGGGCUUCACACAUGCUACAAUGGCCGGUACAAAGGGCUGCGAUGCCGUGAGGUGGAGCGAAUCCUUUCAAAGCCGGUCUCAGUUCGGAUCGGGGUCUGCAACUCGACCCCGUGAAGUCGGAGUCGCUAGUAAUCGCAGAUCAGCAACGCUGCGGUGAAUACGUUCCCGGGCCUUGUACACACCGCCCGUCACGUCAUGAAAGUCGGUAACACCCGAAGCCGGUGGCCUAACCCUUGUGGAGGGAGCCGUCGAAGGUGGGAUCGGCGAUUGGGACG
rnacentral:rRNA from 1 species